UGGGGAAUCUUGCACAAUGGGGGAAACCCUGAUGCAGCGACGCCGCGUGAGCGAUGAAGGUUUUCGAAUCGUAAAGCUCUGUCCUAUGGGAAGAUAAUGACGGUACCAUGGGAGGAAGCCCCGGCUAACUACGUGCCAGCAGCCGCGGUAAUACGUAGGGGGCGAGCGUUGUCCGGAAUUACUGGGCGUAAAGGGUUCGCAGGCGGCAUGGCAAGUCCGAUGUAAAAGGCGAAGGCUCAACCUUCGUAAGCAUCGGAAACUGUCAAGCUUGAGUGAAGGAGAGGCAAGUGGAAUUCCUAGUGUAGCGGUGGAAUGCGUAGAUAUUAGGAGGAAUACCGGUGGCGAAGGCGACUUGCUGGACUUCAACUGACGCUGAGGAACGAAAGCGUGGUAGCAAACAGG
rnacentral:rRNA from 1 species